GCUAGUUGCAGGUGUGAGAUGCAAACCCCAGAAUGCAACGCCGUUGGAUCUACAGCUGUGGUUGCAGUCGUAACCCCUGACAAGAUUAUCGUGGCCAACUGUGGUGACUCUAGAGCUGUCUUGUGCCGCAAUGGCAAGCCUAUCCCCCUCUCUACUGAUCACAAGCCGGACCGUCCAGAAGAGUGGAACAGGAUCCAAGCCGCCGGUGGACGUGUUAUAUACUGGGAUGUUCCACGAGUGCUCGGAGUUCUGGCAAUGUCGAGAGCGAUAGGUGAUAACUAUCUAAAACCGUACGUGAGCUGUGAGCCAGAGGUGACGAUAACGGAUCGGACAGCGGAGGAUGAUUGCUUGAUACUGGCCAGCGACGGGCUUUGGGACGUGGUGUCCAACGACACAGCUUGUGGGGUGGCGCGUAUGUGUUUGAGAGGGAAAGGGCAGGAGAAGCAGUCGUGUUCUUCGCCAGAGAAUGAGGUGCUAGCGGGUAGUGUCGCCGCCACCGGUGGAUGUGGGGAAAUGCCGGACAAGGCAUGCUCGGACGCGUCGAUGCUGCUGACGAAGUUGGCUCUGGCCAGGCACACUACCGACAACGUGAGCGUUGUCGUGGUAGAUUUAAGGAAAGACACGUAGCCGUCAACUUAUCACUUUUUUUUUUUAACUUCUUUUUUAAAUGCU
rnacentral:misc_RNA from 1 species